CAAAUUUCUUUAUUAAUUUUUUAUAAAUAAUUUAUAUUAAAUAUAAAAAUAUAUUUUUAAAUAAAAAAGACGACAAGACCCUAUUAAAUUUAACUUAUAGUUUAGCUGGGGAAGCUUUUUAAAUAAAAUUUUUAUAUAAUUUUUAAAAAUAUAUUUAAUAAAAUUAAAAAUAAAACAAAUUACUAUAGGGAUAACAGCGUUAUAUUUUUUAAAAGUUCUUAUUUAAAAAAAUGAUUGCGACCUCGAUGUUGAAUUAUAUUUUCUAUAUUAAUGCAAUAAUUAUAAAAGUAGAUCUGUUCGAUCUUUAAAAUAUUACAUGAUUUGAGUUCAAACCGGUGUAAACCAGGUUGGUUUCUAUCUUUUUAUAUAUAUAUAUAUUUUUUAAGUACGAAAGGAAAAAAAAAAAUUUAUUUUAAUUAUUUAGCAAAUUAAUAUGCAUUAGAUUUAGAAUCUAAAUAAAAUAUUAUUUUUUAAUUAAUUCUUUUAUAUCUAUUAUUAUACUUUUAAUUUCAGUUGCAUUUUAUACAAUUUUAGAACGAAAAAUUUUAAGAUACAUUCAAAUUCGAAAAGGUCCAAAUAAAGUAGGUUUUAUAGGAAUUUUACAACCAUUUAGUGAUGCUAUUAAAUUAUUUAAUAAAAAUUUAAUUUCACUUGAAAGAAUAAAUUUUAUAUUAUCAUAUUCAACUCCAGCAUUAUCUUUAAUUUUAAUAAUAAUAAUUACUUCUAUAUUACCUAUAUAUAUCUAUUCUACAUUUGAUAAUAAAAAUAAUAUUUUAAUAUUUUUUGUAAUUUCAAGAUUAGCAGUCUAUUCUAUU
rnacentral:rRNA from 1 species